rnacentral:pre_miRNA from 1 species
GAAGUACUCCCUUCGUUCCGAAUUACUUGUCGCAGAUAUGGAUGUAUCUAGAUGUAUUUUAGUUCUAGAUACAUCCAUUUUUAUGACAAGUAAUUUGGAACGGAGGGAGUACCAA